CACCCGCCUCGACCUCCCAAACUGCUGGGAUUACAGGCGUGAGCCACCACGCCUGGCCAGCUGUUGUUAUAACUGGAGUUCUAUGUGCUUGUGACCAUUCUUGGUUUCUCCGAAUAUCCUAGAACUUUGGUGGCGCCCUAUUAUACAGGUUGUUGAAGAAAUGUUACCAUGUGGAUUGAGUAGGAAACAAUUCUCUUUAUCUUGGCAAUAUUAUGGCAUGGCACUACUUAAAGUACAAAUUAAAAGAGGGGGAUGCUACAGAACUAGCUGACAGGCACUUUGAUAGAGGUGGAUUUCUCAGUUCUUAAAAUAGCUCUUUAUAAAGGAAGCCAGAGGCAUUGUGGAGGAGAAUUCUUACAUAACUCAUAGGGUUAGACCACAUCCGACCUUUUCUGUGUGGCUUCAUGGCUCUCUUGGUUGAGAAAGCAUUAGUUUCUCCUUCCAUUAGUUUCAACCUCUUGAUUUCUUGACCCCCCUACUAUAUUUUGUGCUGAGAACACAAGGGUAUUAACAACCCACAUUGUAGAGGAUCGCUCAGUAAUAAAGACUGGAGAAUAAAAUGCAGCAUGGGAAUAUUGGCAAUUACUCAGUUCUAAAUUUCUCUUGGAAAUGAGGGAAAGCAUACAGAAUAGAGCUGGAAUGAAUAGGAUAAUUUUUUUUUUUUUUGCUAAGUUGGUAGCCAGAAUAUAACAGCUCCGCACAACUGUAAAUGUCCACUCUUCAAUCCACAUGAAGAAAAGGGUAAAAAUAUGGUUGAACUCAACCACUAGUUGCCCAUUAGAACAGACUUUCCCAGUGUACUGCAUUUCAAUACUUUUUCUUUUAUCUCUUUUCAGAUCUUCCUCAGAAGAAUAGGCUUGUUGUUUUACAGUGUUAGUGAUCCAUUCCCUUUGACGAUCCCUAGGUGGAGAUGGGGCAUGAGGAUCCUCCAGGGGAAAAGCUCACUACCACUGGGCAACAACCCUAGGUCAGGAGGUUCUGUCAAGAUACUUUCCUGGUCCCAGAUAGGAAGAUAAAGUCUCAAAAACAACCACCACACGUCAAGCUCUUCAUUGUUCCUAUCUGCCAAAUCAUUAUACUUCCUACAAGCAGUGCAGAGAGCUGAGUCUUCAGCAGGUCCAAGAAAUUUGAACACACUGAAGGAAGUCAGCCUUCCCACCUGAAGAUCAACAUGCCUGGCACUCUAGCACUUGAGGAUAGCUGAAUGAAUGUGUAUUUCUUUGUCUCUUUCUUUCUUGUCUUUGCUCUUUGUUCUCUAUCUAAAGUGUGUCUUACCCAUUUCCAUGUUUCUCUUGCUAAUUUCUUUCGUGUGUGCCUUUGCCUCAUUUUCUCUUUUUGUUCACAAGAGUGGUCUGUGUCUUGUCUUAGACAUAUCUCUCAUUUUUCAUUUUGUUGCUAUUUCUCUUUGCUCUCCUAGAUGUGGCUCUUCUUUCACGCUUUAUUUCAUGUCUCCUUUUUGGGUCACAUGCUGUGUGCUUUUUGUCCUUUUCUUGUUCUGUCUACCUCUCCUUUCUCUGCCUACCUCUCUUUUCUCUUUGUGAACUGUGAUUAUUUGUUACCCCUUCCCCUUCUCGUUCGUUUUAAAUUUCACCUUUUUUCUGAGUCUGGCCUCCUUUCUGCUGUUUCUACUUUUUAUCUCACAUUUCUCAUUUCUGCAUUUCCUUUCUGCCUCUCUUGGGCUAUUCUCUCUCUCCUCCCCUGCGUGCCUCAGCAUCUCUUGCUGUUUGUGAUUUUCUAUUUCAGUAUUAAUCUCUGUUGGCUUGUAUUUGUUCUCUGCUUCUUCCCUUUCUACUCACCUUUGAGUAUUUCAGCCUCUUCAUGAAUCUAUCUCCCUCUCUUUGAUUUCAUGUAAUCUCUCCUUAAAUAUUUCUUUGCAUAUGUGGGCAAGUGUACGUGUGUGUGUGUCAUGUGUGGCAGAGGGGCUUCCUAACCCCUGCCUGAUAGGUGCAGAACGUCGGCUAUCAGAGCAAGCAUUGUGGAGCGGUUCCUUAUGCCAGGCUGCCAUGUGAGAUGAUCCAAGACCAAAACAAGGCCCUAGACUGCAGUAAAACCCAGAACUCAAGUAGGGCAGAAGGUGGAAGGCUCAUAUGGAUAGAAGGCCCAAAGUAUAAGACAGAUGGUUUGAGACUUGAGACCCGAGGACUAAGAUGGAAAGCCCAUGUUCCAAGAUAGAUAGAAGCCUCAGGCCUGAAACCAACAAAAGCCUCAAGAGCCAAGAAAACAGAGGGUGGCCUGAAUUGGACCGAAGGCCUGAGUUGGAUGGAAGUCUCAAGGCUUGAGUUAGAAGUCUUAAGACCUGGGACAGGACACAUGGAAGGCCUAAGAACUGAGACUUGUGACACAAGGCCAACGACCUAAGAUUAGCCCAGGGUUGUAGCUGGAAGACCUACAACCCAAGGAUGGAAGGCCCCUGUCACAAAGCCUACCUAGAUGGAUAGAGGACCCAAGCGAAAAAGGUAUCUCAAGACUAACGGCCGGAAUCUGGAGGCCCAUGACCCAGAACCCAGGAAGGAUAGAAGCUUGAAGACCUGGGGAAAUCCCAAGAUGAGAACCCUAAACCCUACCUCUUUUCUAUUGUUUACACUUCUUACUCUUAGAUAUUUCCAGUUCUCCUGUUUAUCUUUAAGCCUGAUUCUUUUGAGAUGUACUUUUUGAUGUUGCCGGUUACCUUUAGAUUGACAGUAUUAUGCCUGGGCCAGUCUUGAGCCAGCUUUAAAUCACAGCUUUUACCUAUUUGUUAGGCUAUAGUGUUUUGUAAACUUCUGUUUCUAUUCACAUCUUCUCCACUUGAGAGAGACACCAAAAUCCAGUCAGUAUCUAAUCUGGCUUUUGUUAACUUCCCUCAGGAGCAGACAUUCAUAUAGGUGAUACUGUAUUUCAGUCCUUUCUUUUGACCCCAGAAGCCCUAGACUGAGAAGAUAAAAUGGUCAGGUUGUUGGGGAAAAAAAAGUGCCAGGCUCUCUAGAGAAAAAUGUGAAGAGAUGCUCCAGGCCAAUGAGAAGAAUUAGACAAGAAAUACACAGAUGUGCCAGACUUCUGAGAAGCACCUGCCAGCAACAGCUUCCUUCUUUGAGCUUAGGUGAGCAGGAUUCUGGGGUUUGGGAUUUCUAGUGAUGGUUAUGGAAAGGGUGACUGUGCCUGGGACAAAGCGAGGUCCCAAGGGGACAGCCUGAACUCCCUGCUCAUAGUAGUGGCCAAAUAAUUUGGUGGACUGUGCCAACGCUACUCCUGGGUUUAAUACCCAUCUCUAGGCUUAAAGAUGAGAGAACCUGGGACUGUUGAGCAUGUUUAAUACUUUCCUUGAUUUUUUUCUUCCUGUUUAUGUGGGAAGUUGAUUUAAAUGACUGAUAAUGUGUAUGAAAGCACUGUAAAACAUAAGAGAAAAACCAAUUAGUGUAUUGGCAAUCAUGCAGUUAACAUUUGAAAGUGCAGUGUAAAUUGUGAAGCAUUAUGUAAAUCAGGGGUCCACAGUUUUUCUGUAAGGGGUCAAAUCAUAAAUACUUUAGACUGUGGGCCAUAUGGUUUCUGUUACAUAUUUGUUUUUUAAACAACGUUUUUAUAAGGUCAAAAUCAUUCUUAGUUUUUGAGCCAAUUGGAUUUGGCCUGCUGUUCAUAGCUUACCACCCCCUGAUGUAUUAUUUGUUAUUCAGAGAAAAUUUCUGAAUACUACUAGUUUCCUUUUCUGUGCCUGUCCCUGUGCUAGGCACUAAAAAUGCAAUGAUUAUUGAUAUCUAGGUGACCUGAAAAAAAAUAGUGAAUGUGCUUUGUAAACUGUAAAGCACUUGUAUUCUACUGUGAUAAGCGUUGUGGAUACAAAGAAAGGAGCAAGCAUAAAAAAGUGCUCUUUCAAAAGGAUAUAGUACUAUGCAGACACAAGGAAUUGUUUGAUAAAUGAAUAAAUUAUAUGUAUAUUUGAGGCCAAUUUGUGUUUGCUGCUCUGGUAAUUUUGAGUAAAAAUGCAGUAUUCCAGGUAUCAGAAACGAAAACACAUGGAAACUGCUUUUAAACUUUAAAAUAUACUGAAAACAUAAGGGACUAAGCUUGUUGUGGUCACCUAUAAUGUGCCAGAUACCAUGCUGGGUGCUAGAGCUACCAAAGGGGGAAAAGUAUUCUCAUAGAACAAAAAAUUUCAGAAAGGUGCAUAUUAAAGUGCUUUGUAAACUAAAGCAUGAUACAAAUGUCAAUGGGCUACAUAUUUAUGAAUGAAUGAAUGGAUGAAUGAAUAUUAAGUGCCUCUUACAUACCAGCUAUUUUGGGUACUGUAAAAUACAAGAUUAAUUCUCCUAUGUAAUAAGAGGAAAGUUUAUCCUCUAUACUAUUCAGAUGUAAGGAAUGAUAUAUUGCUUAAUUUUAAACAAUCAAGACUUUACUGGUGAGGUUAAGUUAAAUUAUUACUGAUACAUUUUUCCAGGUAACCAGGAAAGAGCUAGUAUGAGGAAAUGAAGUAAUAGAUGUGAGAUCCAGACCGAAAGUCACUUAAUUCAGCUUGCGAAUGUGCUUUCUAAAUUAUAAAGCACUUGUAAAUGAAAAAUUUGAUGCUUUCUGUAUGAAUAAAACUUUCUGUAAGCUAGGUAUUGUCUCUACAAAAUUCUCAUUGUAUAGUUAAACCACAGUGAGAAGGGUUCUAUAAGUAGUUAUACAAACCAAGGGUUUAAAUACCUGUUAAAUAGAUCAAUUUUGAUUGCCUACUAUGUGAACUCACUGUUAAAGGCACUGAAAAUUUAUCAUAUUUCAUUUAGCCACAGCCAAAAAUAAGGCAAUACCUAUGUUAGCAUUUUGUGAACUCUAAGGCACCAUAUAAAUGUAACUGUUGAUUUUCUCACUUGGUGCUGGGUACUAGGUUUAUAAAAUUGUAUGAUAGUUAUUAUAUUGUGCAAAUAAAGUAGGAAAAUUUGAAUAACAAUGAUUAUCUUUUGAAUACGCAUACGCAAGGGAUUGGUUGUCUGAAGAAUGCCACUAUAGUAGUUAUCUAUUGUGUGCCAAUCUCAUUGCUAGGCAUUGGGGAUGCAAAGAUAAACCAUCUUUAUUGUGUCUUGGGUAGCAGAAGAAAAUAUGUGUAAAAUCAAUUUAUAAUUUGUAAACUGCCACCCAUAUAUAAGCUAUAUCUGCUGAAUGAUCAUUGAUUACUCUUAUCCUUAGAGAUAACAACUGGGGGCACAAACAUUUAUUAUCAUUAUUGAACCUACAACAGAGAUCUAUGUGUAGAUUUACAAAGCCUACAGUUCUAUACAGAUAGGAAUGAACUAUUGGCUUACUGAAUGGUGAUUACUUUCUGUGGGGCUCGGAACUACAUGCCCUAGGAUAUAAAAAUGAUGUUAUCAUUAUAGAGUGCUCACAGAAGGAAAUGAAGUAAUAUAGGUGUGAGAUCCAGACCAAAAGUCAUUUAACAAGUUUAUUCAGUGAUGAAAACAUGGGACAAAUGGACUAAUAUAAGGCAGUGUACUAAGCUGAGUAGAGAGAUAAAGUCCUGUCCAGAAGAUACAUGCUUCCUGGCCUGAUUGAGGAGAUGGAAAAUUUUUGCAAAAAACAAGGUGUUGUGGUCUUCCAUCCAGUUUCUUAAGUGCUGAUGAUAAAAGUGAAUUAGACCCACCUUGACCUGGCCUACAGAAGUAAAGGAGUAAAAAUAAAUGCCUCAGGCGUGCUUUUUGAUUCAUUUGAUAAACAAAGCAUCUUUUAUGUGGAAUAUACCAUUCUGGGUCCUGAGGAUAAGAGAGAUGAGGGCAUUAGAUCACUGACAGCUGAAGAUAGAAGAACAUCUUUGGUUUGAUUGUUUAAAUAAUAUUUCAAUGCCUAUUCUCUGCAAGGUACUAUGUUUCGUAAAUUAAAUAGGUCUGGCCCAGAAGACCCACUCAAUUGCCUUUGAGAUUAAAAAAAAAAAAAAAAAGAAAGAAAAAUGCAAGUUUCUUUCAAAAUAAAGAGACAUUUUUCCUAGUUUCAGGAAUCCCCCAAAUCACUUCCUCAUUGGCUUAGUUUAAAGCCAGGAGACUGAUAAAAGGGCUCAGGGUUUGUUCUUUAAUUCAUUAACUAAACAUUCUGCUUUUAUUACAGUUAAAUGGUUCAAGAUGUAACAACUAGUUUUAAAGGUAUUUGCUCAUUGGUCUGGCUUAGAGACAGG
rnacentral:lncRNA from 1 species